CAAAAUGAAAUACUUUAAUUAUUUGUUUAUUCGAUUUGUUUAUUCAGUUUAUACUAGCCUAGCCCUAUCAACUUAUGAAUUGCUGAAUGAACAUAUGAACAUAGAGUUUUUUAAUGUGACUGGCAUCAUCCCUUGGUCUCCUUUCUUCACUCAGGAUCCCCUAUCACGGUCUGGUUGUCUGUCUUUCUGAUUUCCCCACUUCUGUCCUCUCUUUCAUCUUGAUCCUUAAACUAGUAGGCCCCAGGGGCGGAUCUAGAAAUAUAUUCAUGGGGUGGCAAGAGGGGGACAGGAGAUUUUGAGGGGUGGCACCCUCUGGCAGAAGUAUAUACAGUAUGCCGAUUUAAUUAAAGCCAUAUCAAUCAAUAUUUACUUGGAAAGCCCCCACAUUUAGAUAUUUUGACUCAAUAACAUUAUAUUUAAUUUAUUAUGGGAUGAGUAAAGCCUUACAUUUAAAAAUAAAAGGUUUCAGAGAAAAUUUAAUAAAUUAUUACUGAAUAAUUACAAAAUCAACCUGCCUUACAACAAACACCUGCACUAUUAUACCAGCAGGGGCAUGGGGCUAAAAAUAUAUGCAAAGAGAGCUGCAAUAUGUACAUUAGUUAACAAUAAGUUGGCUUUGGUCCAUGAGAUAUUCCUAUCAGAUGUCAAUCAUCAGUCCAACUUGAGUGCAAAUAUCACUUUACUUUUCCAAUAAUUUACAUACAAUGCCACCCUCAAAGUGCGGUGACAUAGAAUAACUCCCAAAGUAGAGUGUAUUACCUGCAUGCUUGGAAGAGCCAAAUGGGGAUUCAGGGGAAGUGCUAUCAAAGAUUUCCCUCUCUUUCUUUUUUGAUAUCUUUAAUUUCUAAGUAUUUAAGACCUUUUGGGUUUACCUUAUUAUUUUUUUUGCUCUUGAUGUGAAGCUUGUUUUAUUAAUAAUUAUUGAUGACUUAUAUUGGUUUAUAAAAGUUCAGACAGGUGUGCAACCAAGUAGAUUAGAGAUGGCCAUUUGUAAAUAAUUUACAGAAGAUGACUUGCAUUUUGUUGUCCAAGUACCUGUUACUUGGUUCAAUGACAAUAAAGUUUAAUAUAAUCAAAUCGAAUGACUGUUGAUACAAAAGGAGGCACAUGAAGUUAACGGUCGGGCAGGCGGGAUGGGGCAAUAUUUCCUGGUUGCAUUCACUUGCAGUCGGACU
rnacentral:lncRNA from 1 species